rnacentral:rRNA from 1 species
UACGGAGGGUGCGAGCGUUAUUCGGAAUUACUGGGCGUAAAGCGCGUGCAGGCGGGGGUAUAAGUCUGAUGUGAAAGCCCUGGGCUUAACCUGGGAAGAGUAUUGGAAACUGUAUCUCUUGAGUACUGGAGAGGAAGGGGGAAUUACCGGUGUAGAGGUGAAAUUCGUAGAGAUCGGGAGGAAUACCAGUGGCGAAGGCGCCCUUCUGGACGGUAACUGACGCUGAGACGCGAAAGCGUGGGGAGCAAACAGG